rnacentral:rRNA from 1 species
GACGAACGCUGGCGGCGUGCCUAAUACAUGCAAGUCGAACGCACAGUUUAUACCGUAGCUUGCUACACCAUAGACUGUGAGUUGCGAACGGGUGAGUAACGCGUAGGUAACCUGCCUGGUAGCGGGGGAUAACUAUUGGACACGAUAGCUAAUACCGCAUAAUAUUAAUUAUUGCAUGAUAAUUAAUUGAAAGGCGCAAUUGCACCACUACCAGAUGGACCUGCGUUGUAUUAGCUAGUAGGUUAGGUAACGGCUCACCUAGGCGACGGUACAUAGCCGACCUGAGGAGGGGAUCGGCCAAACUGGGACUGGGGCACGGCCCAGACUCCUACGGGAGGCAGCAGUAGGGAAUCUUCGGCAAUGGACGAAAGUCUUGCCGGGCAACGCCGCGUGAGGGAAGAAGGUUUUCGGAACGGAAAGCUCUGUUGUAAGGGAAGAACGGAUGGGGGAGGGGAAAGUUCACGCUGUGACGGUAUCUAACCAGAAAGGGACGGCUAACUACGUG